UAGGGAAUCUUCGGCAAUGGACGAAAGUCUGACCGAGCAACGCCGCGUGAGUGAAGAAGGUUUUCGGAUCGUAAAACUCUGUUGGUAGAGAAGAACGUUGGUGAGAGUGGAAAGCUCAUCAAGUGACGGUAACUACCCAGGAAGGGACGGCUAGCUACGUGCCAG
rnacentral:rRNA from 1 species